rnacentral:misc_RNA from 1 species
UACAAUCGGGUAUCGGGCCACUUCGAGACACUUACGUUUUAAAGAAAACACGCGGAAAAGUAUCUGACUGUUUGCAGGGAUAUUUAACUACUUUUUUGUGCAUACAAUCCUCCUUGGUGUUGUGAUAAUUGCUGCUACAUUUUUCUUGGAGACGUUAGGAAUGAAUUCAAAAACCUUUACAACUUUGGAUACUUUUGAUACAGAGUUUUCCGCAGACUCUGUAGAAUGGUGUCCAAUAGAAGGGUUUGAUAAUAUCUUGGUGUGUGGAACCUACCAGUUAUUCAAAAAUGAAGAAAGUCAUGAAACGAGUACUUCAAAGAAGUCGAAACGUUUUGGUAGAAUUUAUCUCUUCCGCAUCGACUGUAGUUGUAAACUUAAACUUUUGCAAUGCUUGGAUGUCCCUGCUGUGCUAGACAUGAAGUGGAUGCAUAUAAAAUUGAAUGAUAAAAUUUUACUAGGUGUUACAAAUGCUGCAGGAUGUGUACAAAUUUACAAACUUAUAAAUAAUGAAAACGAGCCUUCUUUAGUAUUGUGUGCAGAGAAAAGUCUGACAAGUGAGGAUAAUAAUGAAGUAUUGGCGCUAUCGUUAGAUUGGUCAUCUGGAAAAUUGGAUAUUUCGGACACUGGCCAAAACGUGCAAAUUGUAGUCAGUGAUUCAAAAGGAUCGAUUUCAGUUUUCGCAUUGACGGAAGAGGCAACUUUGGAAAUAGCGUCUACGUGGAAUGCACAUGAAUUCGAAGCGUGGAUCGCAGCCUUUGAUUAUUGGAAUCAUAAUGUCAUAUUUUCUGGUGGGGAUGAUUGUAAGUUCCAAUGGUUUGACCUAAGAGUGAGUACACGACCGGCAGGAGUCAGCAGAGCACAUGGAGCUGGAGUGACGAGUCUUCAUAACAAUGCGGCACGCGAGUUUUUACUGGCUUCCGGAAGUUAUGAUGAAAUCUUACGAUUGUGGGAUGUUAGGAGCAUUCGUCGCCCAGUGUCCGAAGUUAAUCUAACUGGAGGAAUCUGGCGUUUGAAAUGGGACCCAAAAACCCACGACUAUUUGAUUGCUGCAUGUAUGUAUGGUGGCUUCAAAAUAGUAGAUUGUAGAAAUAAUGACAGACCGAAUGUUGUGAGUGAAUAUAUGGAACACGAGAGUAUUGCGUAUGGCUGUGAUUGGUCAUUGUUCAACAGCAGCAAGAUUCAGCGUCAAGAAGUUUUAGAUCAACCCCCAGGUACUCAAGUUUUGGUUGCCACAUGCUCUUUUUAUGAUCAUGCAUUGAAACUGGCUGCUAUUAAUUUAUAUGACAAUGAAUGAUGCGUGCACAGACAAUAGUUGGCGCAUCUAACUUAAUCAUUAAGAAUCCAGCGUGUGAAUUGUUUUGUAAAUAAACUAUCGUGUCGGUUCGUAGUUCACGUGGUGGUCUGCAAUAGUUCUGAAGUCUAGGUCUGAGAACUUCAUUGAAAUUCAAAUUUUUUACCUAAAAGUGAAUUUACAGGUACUUUUAUAUUUGAAAAGGAAAUAGCAACAGCGUAGACUUUCGAAUUGUUGUUGUUCUUUGCCCAUAAUUAAGAUUAAUUUCAAUCGGUCGAUCGACUUGGCGAAUAAGAUCAUCUUGAGGGCUACGAAUUCCACCCUCAGAGAGAGAUCGGUAAUUUUGCCGCCGUUUGUGCCAAAACCGGAUGUGGUAAAGUUGCGGAGGAAGACCAUUGUUAUGAACGUUCGAAUUGCCGGUCAAGUAGCGAAUGGCGGUAAGUGUCAGCCAGCCAUCUCAAUUUCUUGAUAGAAAUUCUCAUAUUUCGAAUCAAGGUACUUUUAUCGCAAAGGAACGACAAAGGGCUAAAAAUUUUGCAAAAGAUUUGGGAAAAAAAUCAUUCGCUGUUAUUAUUGAAAUCUUCAUCUAAUCAUCGUAAAGCUAACGCGAUUGCAUAAGUGAUAUUUUAAUUGACGAUUAAGGGGGUAGAUGACGCUACCCAAUACAUUGUGUAAUUAUUGUCCAAGCUGCCCGCUGAGGUCCUGUUGUCCUAUUCACCCUUUGCAUGGCCAUAGGAGGUCCAGAAGUCCGAGGAGCGUACUGAGACCACGAUAAUUAGGAUCUGGGACGCGCGGAGUGAGCGUCGCGGGGUUUCGCAUAAUCACAAUUGGG